rnacentral:lncRNA from 1 species
AGGGAAGGAGAAGUUUGUGAAAGCUAAUUAAAUACUUUAAUAAAAGCCAAUGUAUUCAUCCAACAUUUGGAAAGAGAGGCACAUUAGGGGCAACUUGUUUUUACCCAAAUGUUUUCUUUCUGUGGAGGUAGCACUCCUUUGUGAUGCCGGAGAGAGAGAUGGCUUAUGCAGCUACAAAAAGCGCUAGGGAUGGCAAGGCAGGUUCACGGGAAGCCUUUGGAAGCCUUUCAGCCUGAUGGAGCUUUCAAACCAGCAGAUCUUUCGAGCUGCUGCCGAGAUCAACAAUUACCCAAUUUGGAAAGGGGGUUGGGGUGCAGUGCUGAUGGCUGAAUGGGAUCCACAGGAAAGUCGGGAUAGAAAUUCGGGGUUUGAGACCCUGCGGGUGUACUGAUACUGUUUCAAUGUCAGGAAAAACACAAAACCCGGUUCCACGCGGUGCUUUAGUGGCUAAAAGUGAAAGAGCUGCCUUGGCAGAAUUCAGCUCUAUGAAUCACUUCGGAAAAUUGGUUCGACUGAAUGGCCUUAGGAGGAAAAACGUUUUAAUAGGAUCCAGGGGAGGUUCUGCUGUUUCAAUCUGCGCCUUAAACAGGUGGAGAUUGGACCUUCUCAAUUAUACAAACAGGGAGCGCGGGCGCCAGUUGCCUCCUUUUAAAGUUUGAGGGGCGGUGGCGGCGGCGGCCGGCAGGCGCGGUGGAACACAGGGGCCGCUACAGGAGCCGCGCCGCCGCCCAUGUCAUUCCACUUCAAGUGACUUCAUGUGAUGUCAGCUGAAUGUAAAAGACAGUGAUCUCACGCGGAGGGGAAGAUGUUUGCCAUCAAAAUGUGACAGAGGAGACACGCUGCAUGGCUCGGAACGCAUCUCCUUGGCGGUGGGGGAAAGAGGUAAAUGCGAGGUGGCUCUCCUGGUCCUCUUUAACUUUGCCCCUUCACUGUCCAGCUCCCAGCACGAGUGGCGGAGGCCAGGGUCCAGGGAGCGGCUCAGGGGGGUUAAUUUGAGGCUCUUUCUUUCUUUUUUUUCUCUCUCUUUUUCCUCUGUAACCCCCCCCCCGCUUUUUCCCUUUCAAAGUCCCAGGGCAGGGGCUGGUGGGUUCCUUUGCGGGCCGGGUUAAUGGGCGGUAAUUUGGUACCCUUGGGUGCACUUUGUUCUGCCCCUGUUCAUUCGAAUGCAAAUGGGUGACCUGGACCCGACAAGGUGCUUAUUAAAUUGCGGUUUCCCUCCCUGCCUUUUCUGGGAAUGCAGACUUAGAGGAGAGAGGCUGCCCCUGGCCCAGUCCGGC